CUAUUGCCUCCAAUAGGGCCAAAAUUUCUUCCUUAUUUAUUUUUUAUUUUUUAUUUUUUGGUAUCAGGGAUCGAACUUGGGACCUUGCGCUUACAAGGCAGGUGCCAGAACCACUGAGCUAAAUCCCCAGCCCUCUUCCUUAUUUUUUAAUACUUUUUCCUUCUGAGGUCAAUAAGCCUCAUUGCCGGUAGAUGUUGCCAUGCACAUGGGCUGUGCCAAACGCAUACGCUGUCAGUGCAAAUAUUUACAGUCUUUUCUCGGCUGAGCCACAAAGCCUGAGUCAGUGCUAUCAGUUCAGCUUUUGGGCUGAGGAGCCCCUAUUUAGAGGCUGAGCCCAUUUAAUUUCUCCUUCUGGUGUGACCACAGCUGCCCCAGCAUCCCUGACCCCAUCCUCCAUGUAACUGCUCCCAUCUGUGAAGCAUACCACAUCCGGCUCUCAGUGUAGAUUUUCCUGAAAUUAGAAAGAACACAUUCAAGGGGGGCAGAGGGCUUGGACUCCGCGAGCUGCCCAUGGCGUCCUGUGGGAGAAAGGACAGAAAGAAACACAAAACAGAGACCACACUGACAAACAAGGCGCCAAAAACACAACUGCUUAAAAUUUGUGGACCAGUACCAAGACCCAGGGGGACUCCUGCCAUCCCAAUGAGUCCCGCGCAAAGGAGUUGAUGUCGUGUCCAACCUCCUUCUGCCCACUAAGCGCCGCAACCCAAAGACCAUGCAUUUGGUCCUUACCUCUGGAGGCUCCCAGAUCAAGUUCCCAGCGGUAGAGUCCGAGUCUGCCUGCCUCCACCUGCGGCUGCUGGACCCGGGCCCUGGAACACCUCGGGUGGCCUCCCCAGAGUCAGCGUGCCGGAGAUGGCCCCAGCAGCAGAGAAGGCUCCAAGACUGUCAGCUCAGGAGAUCUCACUGGGGCCUCCAAGCACGUUGGGCCUAAGUCCCCCGACGGCAACUAUCACCCGAGUCACAACACGAUGCAAAGUCUGCAGCGAGCUUUACUUCCGGCCAGGACCAAAUCCCUGCAAGGAGACUGGCCCCGGACUGAGCUUUUGGUCAGUUUUUAUAAAGAAAACCGUCUCCUCCUCCUCCCUUCCCCUAGCCCUGCAGUAAGCGUGUCUGCAGAAGUGAGAAAAGAAUGCGUGGUUAGCACCUCUGGGUUACCAGAUACAUAGCGCAAAACCAGCC
rnacentral:lncRNA from 1 species